rnacentral:snRNA from 1 species
AUUGCUUUUCAGCCUUUUAGCUAAGAUCAAGUGUAGUAUUUGUUCUCAUCAGUUUAAUAUCUGAUAUGUCCUCGAUCUGAGGACGUUAGCCGAAUUGUACAUUCCAAGCGCUUAGUACAGUGCCCUGCACAUGAUAAGCGCUCAAUAAAUACUAUUGAAUGAAUUAAUGAUUAUUAAGUGGCUUUUUGGAGCAGGGAGGUGGGUUAGGAGCUUGCUACGUUCUCUCCACGCAUUGUCCUGGUACUGCAGUGCUUCCAAGACGGGUGCCUUUCCC